GAUGAACGCUGGCGGCGUGCCUAAUACAUGCAAGUCGAGCGAAUGGAUUAAGAGCUUGCUCUUAUGAAGUUAGCGGCGGACGGGUGAGUAACACGUGGGUAACCUGCCCAUAAGACUGGGAUAACUCCGGGAAACCGGGGCUAAUACCGGAUAACAUUUUGAACCGCAUGGUCCGAAAUUGAAAGGCGGCUUCGGCUGUCACUUAUGGAUGGACCCGCGUCGCAUUAGCUAGUUGGUGAGGUAACGGCUCACCAAGGCAACGAUGCGUAGCCGACCUGAGAGGGUGGUCGGCCACACUGGGACUGAGACACGGCCCAGACUCCGACGGGAGGCAGCAGUAGGGAAUCUUCCGCAAUGGACGAAAGUCUGACGGAGCAACGCCGCGUGAGUGAUGAAGGCUUUCGGGUCGUAAAACUCUGUUGUUAGGGAAGAACAAGUGCUAGUUGAAUAAGCUGGCACCUCGACGGUACCUAACCAGAAAGCCACGGCUAACUACGUGCCAGCAGCCGCCGUAA
rnacentral:rRNA from 1 species